UACGGAGGAUCCAAGCGUUAUCCGGAAUUACUGGGCGUAAAGAGUUGCGUAGGUGGCAUGGCAAGUAGAUAGUGAAAGCGUUCCGCUCAACGGAAUAUACAUUAUCUAAACUGCUAAGCUAGAGAAUGGUAGAGGUUACUGGAAUUCCCGGUGUAGGAGUGAAAUCCGUAGAUAUCGGGAGGAACACCAAUGGCGUAGGCAGGUAACUGGGCCAUUUCUGACACUAAGGCACGAAAGCGUGGGGAGCAAACGGG
rnacentral:rRNA from 1 species